rnacentral:rRNA from 1 species
UACAGAGGUGGCAAGCGUUGUUCGGAAUUACUGGGCGUAAAGGGCGCGUAGGCGGCCAUCUAAGUCAGAUGUGAAAUCCCCGGGCUCAACCUGGGAACUGCAUUUGUGACUGCAUCGCUGGAGUGCGGCAGAGGGGGAUGGAAUUCCGCGUGUAGCAGUGAAAUGCGUAGAUAUGCGGAGGAACACCGAUGGCGAAGGCAAUCCCCUGGGCCUGCACUGACGCUCAUGCACGAAAGCGUGGGGAGCAAACAGG